UACGGGGGGAGCAAGCGUUGUUCGGAUUUACUGGGCGUAAAGGGCGCGUAGGCGGUCAGCACAAGUCAGUUGUGAAAUCUCCGGGCUUAACUCGGAAAGGUCAACUGAUACUGUGCGACUAGAGUGCAGAAGGGGCAACUGGAAUUCUCGGUGUAGCGGUGAAAUGCGUAGAUAUCUGGAGGAAUACCGGUGGCGAAGGCGGCAUCCUGGACCGAGAUUGACGCUGAUGAGCGAAAGCUAGGGGAGCAAACGGG
rnacentral:rRNA from 1 species